rnacentral:rRNA from 1 species
AUUGAACGCUGGCGGCAGGCUUAACACAUGCAAGUCGGGCGGGGACUUCGGUCCUAGCGGCGAACGGGUGAGGAAUGCUUGGGAAUCUGCCCAGUAGCGGGGGAUAACGUUCCGAAAGGAACGCUAAUACCGCAUACGCCCUACGGGGGAAAGGGGGGGAUCUUCGGACCUCUCACUAUUGGAUGAGCCCAAGUCGGAUUAGCUAGUUGGUGGGGUAAAGGCCUACCAAGGCGACGAUCCGUAGCUGGUCUGAGAGGAUGAUCAGCCACACUGGAACUGAGACACGGUCCAGACUCCUACGGGAGGCAGCAGUGGGGAAUAUUGGACAUUGGGCGAAAGCCUGAUCCAGCCAUGCCGCGUGUGUGAAGAAGGCCUUCGGGUUGUAAAGCACUUUAAGCGAGGAGGAAUGGCUCUUGGUUAAUAACCUUGAGCAGUGACGUUACUCGCAGAAUAAGCACCGGCUAACUCUGUGCCAGCCGCCGCCGUAAAAC